CUUGAGCCUUUAAAGAGACCUCUUGGCUCCCGUCCAUCGGGUGGCUGGGAGGGGCGGGGUAGGAUUGGAGGGCUUGGGAGUGAAAGCGGGAGUGGCAUGAUGGACUCGUCCCUGGGAAGUUGACCAUUCGGGAACCACGGCCCUCGAAGUCAUGGUACCUCAGUCUCAGUGGGAUCUUCCUUUCCUAAAUGAGGAACGGGACUCAAAGAGGAACACCCCAAGGUCAUACAGCGAGUCUGUGGCUAGGCAUGGGCUUCACCCAGCUCCUUCCUCUGGAAAAGGCCCAAGAGGAGGACCCAGCUGCAGCUCAAGAUGUGGAUGGAGACCUCUGGGGGAGGGGAGGCAGGGGAGUCUGGCUCCAAGCUUCUUGCAUCAGCCUCAGAUGAUGAAACCCUGUGAGACGUCUUGGCUGGGAUGUACGUUAGGGUCCUGAGGAUCCACUUCUUGGUGCCAUCAUUCCCCACUCCCCACCCCCAUCUGUGACUGCUCCACUCGGGAACCCAGGUGCCUGUUUGGAAUAGUUUUAAGGGAAAAUGUGAAAGUUAGGUCAGCUCAUUCUUCCUACCCUCGUAGCAAACAGGAGGAGAGCCAGAGCCCCA
rnacentral:lncRNA from 1 species